AUAACUAACAAAAUAAAAGUGGAGAUACGGUUUCCAUAAUUUGGUUUUUAUAACAAAAUAGUUUGAUCUUAGUGCCGAGUUAUGAGAAGAAAAGAAAAGGGAAUAUAUAUUCGAGAGUAUUUUUAAGAUGGUCUGGUUUUGUUUUUAAUAGAAAUUAUUUUGUCUAUUUACAGCCGCCGGGAUCUUCUAAGAUCUUCUGGGAUUUUGAUUUAAGGAAAUGUACUCAUAUUUUUUUGAGUGUUGUUUAAGACUAACUAUAUUUUUGUUAGCAAAUCUAUGAACUGCCAGAAAAGUAUUUGUUCAUUAUCUAUAUUUAGAUUACUCCAAAUAUAGUGGUUGAUUGGCCGGCAAUUUAUGCCAAAUUCAGUGAAAAAAACAGAGAAACUUCUUAGGAACCAAUUUAUGGAGCUAUAUAAAAUGGUAUAGGGAUGCUUGGUUUGCACGUUCUAUCGCAGCCGCGUAGAGGAUACCUAACUACAGUGCCGUAUAGGAUAUCAAAUUAUCAAGCUCGCACUUCCAAUGGUUGGGGAGAAAAAUAAGAGACAAUGGAGAAUCGUAAACAAGAACUUUUCACAAAUGCAAUGCAAUUACUCAAAGGGCAUGAGUAAGUUCCAGACUCAUGGUUGUUGUCUUUGUGGAUGCAGAAAAACCAUUGCGCAUAAGUGAUUGAGGAGGUAGCCUUUCUGCAUGGAAAGUUAAACAUACCUCAUUUCCUUUUUUAGCAUGACUAUAAUGUGCUUGCAGUUUAUUUUUUUCCUUGUUUUGUGUGCUGGUGUUUCUGAUUCUUAGUCCAGUCGCAGAAUACAAUUAUUUUGACUCUCUUGCUUGCUAUGGGAAUUCACAUGUACUGGAUGGAUUGAGCAAUGCUAUUGUUGCCGCUCUUGGUUUGAACUGUUCCCUGGAACCAUCUUUUUCUUAUGCUGCAAGGUUUUGACUUUCUCUAAACCACAGAUCUGUGGAGCAAUGGUACUAUGGUAGCGCAUCUCACGUCAGAUCCAACCGCUGAUGUCUACAAAUGCUUGACGGGGUAAAGGUAUACCUGCAUUUUUGAGUAUAAAAAUAAGUACAGACCACCGUACAAAGUUGUGCCAAUGUGUUCAAGUUCAAAACUCUUCUUUAUCGUUAAAAAGUUAUGGCGCCAUAAUUGCAAAGUUACACUAGAGUCAAAUAAUAUUCACACUCUACAUUGUUCUGUCUCA